rnacentral:rRNA from 1 species
UACGUAGGGGGCAAGCGUUGUCCGGAUUAUUGGGCGUAAAGAGCGUGUAGGCGCCACACAGGUCUGCUGUGAAACUCGAGGCUCAACCUCGAGCUGUCGGUGGAAACCGUGUGGCUAGAGUCCGGAAGAGGAGAGUGGAAUCCCGGUGUAGCGGUGAAAUGCGCAGAUAUCGGGAAGAACACCCGUGCGAGGCGGCUAGCUCGUGGGACGGUACUGGACGG